AAGUCGAAGAGACUGCUUUCAAAAGUAAAAAUGCAACUUCUAACAGUGUAAUUCAACCUUUCAGCUGCCAGAGGAGGAUGAUGAUGGCAGUGGUGACCGAGGUGACUGUGCAGCUCAGGAUGAAAAAGAGGAACAACAUCUUCCAGUUUGCCAAAAUCCAAAGUGAAUAUAUAGAGACCAUCCUCCUAUCCUUGCCUCAGAAGAACCUGAGAAAGACACUCUUCCUCUUCACUCACAGCUCUCCAUCAUCUACCUCUGCAACACUGUUGGAAAGAGUGUUCUACACAGCUGAGGACACGGAGAGAUCUCAAAUUCUUCCUGAGAAUGAGAGAUCUCAAAUUCUUCCUGAGAAAGUCCACAUGUUCAUUUUCUUGAACAAAAACUGUACAUGUAUUUUUGGGUGGGCCAAACUAUUAUUUGAAGAAAUGUUAAAAAAAAAAAAAUCUUUAUAUUGUUCUUUAUACAUAUCUUUUAUUCUUUAUAAAUGUCAUCUUCUGGAUUUUUUUUUAGCUUUUGAGAAGCUCAAGGACUGUAUAUCUUUGGUAAUUGUGAUAUUGUCUGGCAGUAAAGCAGUAUUAAAGCACAUUACCUCAGUA